UUUAUAUGAGAGUUUGAUCCUGGCUCAGGAUGAACGCUGGCGGCGUGCCUAAUACAUGCAAGUCGAACGAGUUCUGAUUAUUGAAAGGUGCUUGCAUCUUGAUUUAAUUUUGAACGAGUGGCGGACGGGUGAGUAACACGUGGGUAACCUGCCCUUAAGUGGGGGAUAACAUUUGGAAACAGAUGCUAAUACCGCAUAAAUCCAAGAACCGCAUGGUUCUUGGCUGAAAGAUGGCGUAAGCUAUCGCUUUUGGAUGGACCCGCGGCGUAUUAGCUAGUUGGUGAGGUAACGGCUCACCAAGGCAAUGAUACGUAGCCGAACUGAGAGGUUGAUCGGCCACAUUGGGACUGAGACACGGCCCAAACUCCUACGGGAGGCAGCAGUAGGGAAUCUUCCACAAUGGACGCAAGUCUGAUGGAGCAACGCCGCGUGAGUGAAGAAGGCUUUCGGGUCGUAAAACUCUGUUGUUGGAGAAGAAUGGUCGGCAGAGUAACUGUUGUCGGCGUGACG
rnacentral:rRNA from 2 species